UACGUAGGGGGCAAGCGUUGUUCGGAAUUACUGGGCGUAAAGGGCGCGUAGGCGGCACAGCAAGUCGGGAGUGAAAGCCCGGGGCUCAACUGGGGAGGGUCACGCGAUACUGCUCGACUCGAAGGCAGGAGAGGGAAGUGGAAUUCCCGGUGUAGUGGUGAAAUGCGUAGAUAUCGGGAGGAACACCAGUGGCGAAGGCGACUUCCUGGCCUGUUCUUGACGCUGAGGCGCGAAAGCUAGGGUAGCAAACGGG
rnacentral:rRNA from 1 species